AGAUAACCCAAGGCUUCUGCAGGAUCCUGGAACAUAAGGUAGGCUGGACAGGAAGGGUGUCACCUUCUGUAAAUUUACUAUUGUUUAGGAGAAUUCAGAGCAGAAGAAAGCAAGCCAUCAAAGGAACCGACGAGGACUAUUUCCCCCCACCUUGUUCUGAGGGUUUAAAUUACUCUGGUAUUUUAAAUGAGCUGCUUUUGAAAAAUAGGUUACUGCCAUUUAGUUGAUGACGGAAACAGAAGCCAAGAAGAGUGCAAAUUGUAAACUGACGUGCAUAAGCCAAACGUAUUCUCUCAAAUGACAACGUUCAAGACGCAGCUAAAGUCCCCACUCGGGCGGUAAGCGUGUUACAAAGAACUAGAUCUCUUUCUGGCAUCCGCAACUUGGCCGGAGUGACCACGGAGGAGUUGGAAGAGCGCUGGAAACGCUAGGUUCCUCGCCGGUGCGUUGGCAGAAAACAGUCCGGGCCAUGAGGCCCCGGUGGAAAGUAAAAGGAGGUUCGAGGCGGGUGGCGUUCGCCGCGAGAGAGAGGCGAAGUUAAGCACGGGAAGGAAAGGAGCUGCGAGACUGUGAGGGGAGCCCAGGACGGGGAGGGAGGGGGCUGGAGAGCCGCGCGCGGCGGGUGGGGAGGAAACGCGGCUGGCGAGGCUCCCGGGGGGAGUGGGGAACAGGAGGGGGGGGUCUCCAGGGGAACGUAACCCGGGUACGGAGCGCGUCUCGGAGGGAGAGGAACGGACACGAGCGAGAGCGCCGCGCCGCAAGUCCGGUCCACGCACCCCUCUCCGCGCCCCGCGUACCCAUCCCAGGUGCCGGGCGCGCCCGGGGCGCAGCGGCGCGGAAGCGAGAAAACUAGCAGCGCCGUACCGCCCGGCGAGGAGGAGGUCCCCGGCCGCCCCCGCCCGCGUCCCCGGGGCCCCGCGCGGAGGGGAGGACCCGGGCAGGGUCCGGCGCUCACCAGGUCACCUGAGGGCUGCGGCCUUGGGUCAGGUUCUUGGCUCCCAGUCACUCAUUCCAAGGCUGUCACAGUCCACGCAUGGGCACUUGGAAACCACAUUUCUAGGUACUGAGGAUGUCUUGGGAUCUGUCUUGAGGUCACUGUCUCAACAAUUCCUGUGGAAUCCUGGGGGGAUGACCCUGUUAUGGGUUGAAUUGUGUUCUCUAAAAGGAUAUGAUGGGAGUCCUAACCCCUGGUACCUGCGCAUAUGACCUUAUUUGCAAAUAGGGCCUUCGCAGAUGUAAUCAAGUGAAGCUGAGAUCGUUGGGUGGGCCCUCAUCCAACAUGACCAGUGACCUUACAAGAAGAUGGAAAUUUGCUCAUAGACAUGCACCGAGGGGUGACAAUGUGAAGACACAGAAGGAAGAAGGCCAUACGAAGACAGAAGCAGAGAUUGGAGCCACGCACGAGGCCACAAGCCAAGGAACGCCCGGGGCUACCAGAAGUGGGAAGAGACAAGGAAGCAUCCUUGUCUAGUGGCUUCAGAGGGAGCGUGACUUUGCCUGUGCCUUGAUUUUCGACUUCUACCUUCUAGAACUGUGAAACAACAAACUUCUAUUGCUUCGAGCCACCCAGUUUGGGGCACUUUGUUCGAGCAGCCUUCGAAAACGAAUAUCAACUUCGGUGUCUGCUCAGGACAGAAUGGCGACCACGGAGAAUUCUGGACGGGGCGGAGGAAGAGAUUGCUCCCUUCUGUACUUUGAGCGGCAGCAAAGGGCUAUGACCAUUGCCCUCCUGGAUGCAGAAGGAGGCACUGGCCUCAUUAUAUGCACACACCAUGACUGCUGUCUUAAACUCCAAUACUGCUGAACAAUUCAGAAAUAGAUCCAUUAUAGGUCUGCUUUAGCCCCAGGGCUUUAACACGGGUCACUAGAAAAUCCAAGAUUGCACAGUAAUUCAAACUCUUAAGAGGGAAAGGAAAAAAAAAAAAUUCUCUUCAGCACUCCCGCCCGCCCAGAGUCCCUCCCUCCAGCAUCACAGGGAGCCCCUCUUCAUUUCCGUAGUGCUUUAGAAUAAAUAGCUCUUAUGUUGAACUUGAAAUCUAAAUUUUUUUGCCAGCUAUUAAUUGAUAAGAGAAGCUUGUUUUACCUCUCAUGCUCUGUAGUAAGAUUACGGUGUAAAUAAACUGGGUCAGGUUUAGCAGGA